AUGUGCUAUUAUACUAGCACUAAUGCAUCGGAUUCCAUCAGAACUCCGUAGUUAAGUAGGUUUGGACGAGAGUAGUACUAAGUUAAUUAGGUGACCACUUGAGAAGUCCUCACCUCAUGUU
rnacentral:rRNA from 1 species